CGCCGAAAGAAACGGGAUCCAGAGCAGAAACCUACCGACCAGGACCUCCGUGUGAAUUACAAACCGAAUUAAUGAGGCAGGAAUCUGAAAGAAAAUCCAGCUUAAACCGAGAUUUCAGGCUGAGCCCUUCGUGGCUGACGAUGCGCCGUGGUGCUCCUGUGUCCUGAAGACGACAGCAGAUCCGAGCCGCUCGGUCAUCAUCGAUCUGCAACGGUUGUUAAGUCAGACGGGGUUUUAAAAAAAAAUGAAGCGGGAAAGGAAGCUGUGGGACAACCUUCAAAAGUAAAAGCCCUCGGAAGAUAGAUUAUUCUCAUGGCAGACUUCUCCCGGGUCACCUGCUCUCUCUGGGAAAGCAGCUCCAGAAACCCAUAGCAACGAGUUUCGAAGGACAUCUCCUGCGGAGAUCUGCUUUCUGGAAUUUGUAAAAGUAAAAAAAACAUUAUAGAAUUAUAAAAUGACAUGAUGAGCACGAGUCAUGAAGAAAUGCGGAGAUAUGGAUCCUUCUCUUCCUGCAGCGUCUGUCACUGAA